GGGUCAGUAGCUCAGUGGUAAGAGCAAUCGGCUUUUAACCGAUUGGUCGAGGGUUCAAAUCCCUCCUGACUCA
rnacentral:tRNA from 1 species